GAUGAACGCUGGCGGCGUGCUUAACACAUGCAAGUCGAACGAGAAAUGUAGACGGAAACCUUCGGGCGGAAGCCUUCAUUUCGAGUGGCGGACGGGUGAGUAACGCGUGGGUAACCUGCCUCAUACAGGGGAUAACAGUUGGAAACGACUGUUAAUACCGCAUAAGACCACAGCAUCGCAUGAUGCGGGGGUAAAAACUCCGGUGGUAUGAGAUGGACCCGCGUUCGAUUAGCCAGUUGGCGGGGUAACGGCCCACCAAAGCGACGAUCGAUAGCCGAUCUGAGAGGAUGACCGGCCACAUUGGGACUGAGACACGGCCCAAACUCCUACGGGAGGCAGCAGUGGGGAAUAUUGCACAAUGGGGGAAACCCUGAUGCAGCGACGCCGCGUGAGUGAAGAAGUACUUCGGUAUGUAAAGCUCUAUCAGCAGGGAAGAAAAUGACGGUACCUGAGUAAGAAGCCCCGGCUAACUACGUG
rnacentral:rRNA from 1 species